GGUGAAUGGUUUAUAUGUAAAUUGUUGGUCAGUUUUCCUGAAGACAUUCCUGUCAUUGCAACAUGAUUUGGUUAUUUCAACUGUAUAUUUUGUCAUAUUUCGUCGUUGUUUAUGUUGUUGAAAAUGAAGACAAUUUUCAAGGAAAAAGCCUUAACAUGGUGAACAUAAAUAUCAAAAAAUUGACUUAAGAAAUAUCUCGGGUAGGAUGU